rnacentral:rRNA from 1 species
AACGAACGCUGGCGGCAUGCCUAACACAUGCAAGUCGAACGAGACCUUCGGGUCUAGUGGCGCACGGGUGCGUAACGCGUGGGAACCUGCCCUUAGGUUCGGAAUAACUCCCCGAAAGGGGUGCUAAUACCGGAUAAUGUCUUCGGACCAAAGAUUUAUCGCCUUUGGAUGGGCCCGCGUUGGAUUAGCUAGUUGGUAGGGUAAAAGCCUACCAAGGCGACGAUCCAUAGCUGGUCUGAGAGGAUGAUCAGCCACACUGGGACUGAGACACGGCCCAGACUGCUACGGGAGGCAGCGGUGGGGAAUAUUGGACAAUGGGCGUGAGCCUGAUCCAGCAAUGCCGCGUGAGCGAUGAAGGCGUUAGGGUUGUAAAGCUCUUUUACCCGGGAUGAUAAUGACAGUACCGGGAGAAUAAGCUCCGGCUAACUCCGUG